rnacentral:rRNA from 1 species
GGACCCGCACAAGCAGCGGAGCAUGUGGUUUAAUUCGAAGCAACGCGAAGAACCUUACCAAGGCUUGACAUCCCUCUGACCGGUGUUUAAUAGCACCUUCUCUUCGGAGCAGAGGAGACAGGUGGUGCAUGGUUGUCGUCAGCUCGUGUCGUGAGAUGUUGGGUUAAGUCCCGCAACGAGCGCAACCCUUGCCUUUAGUUGCCAUCAUUAAGUUGGGCACUCUAGAGGGACUGCCGGGAGGAUAACUCGGAGGAAGGUGGGGAUGACGUCAAAUCAUCAUGCCCCUUAUGCCUUGGGCUACACACGUGCUACAAUGGUCGGUACAAAGCGAAGCAAUACUGUGAAGUGGAGCGAAUCGAAAAAACCGAUCCCAGUUCGGAUUGUAGGCUGCAACUCGCCUACAUGAAGUUGGAGUUGCUAGUAAUCGUAGAUCAGAAUGCUA